GCCUCGGUGGUGUAGUGGCAUCACGCGUCCCCGGUAUGGAUGAGACGCGGAUUCGACUCCCGCCUGAAGUC